UACUACAUAGGAGUGGAAGUACCAGAGGAUGAUCCUGAUGCACAGAAGCCUCAUUUUGGACCAAACCUCUGGCCUUCUGAGGAAAUGUGGCGAAAGUAGUUGCAAGGAUCAUUGCUCUAGCACUUGAUCUGGAGGCUGAUUUUUUUGACAUGCCAGAAAUACUCGGCAAGCCUAUUCCGAUCUUGCGCUUGUUGCACUAUGAAGGUAGAUUUUAUUUCAAUGAACUACAAAAUAAAGCCGACAAUUCUUUC